UUUCCCUCAGGAUGGCUAGAGUCUGGCAGCAAUAGUUGAACAGUUUUAUUAGGUAAAGCGAAUGAUUAGAAGAAUCGGGGACGCGCUGUCUUGGACCUAUUCUCAAACUGUAAUUACAUUGAGUAAGAUCCACAAUGGUUAUUUAAUUGAACUUCUGGUGGGAUAAAUGAAAAACUUUAAGUGGCGAUAAGGGAUGAACCU
rnacentral:ncRNA from 1 species